UUUCUCAACGGCCGCAGUACCCUGACUGUGCAAAGGUAGCAUAAUCAUUUGCCUUUUAAUUGAAGGCUUGUAUGAAUGGAUCAACGCAAAUAAAACUGUCUCUACAAUAACUGUAAAACCUAGACUUUGAGUGAAAAUACUCAAAUAAUAAUAAAGGACAAAAAGACCCUAUAGAGCUGCAUUCUUGAUAAACCAUUUAAGCCCCUUAGACUACAUAUAUUUUAACGGAAUUUUGUUGGGGCAACAAAGGAAAACCCAAAACUUCCUUCUCAAUACAGACCUAUUAGUCUCCCAAAUGAUCCUAAUAAGAUCUACAGAAAAAGCUACCUUAGGGAUAACAGGCUAAUCCUUUUAGAGAGUUCACAUUGACAAAAGGGAUUGGCACCUCGAUGUUGGCUUAAGAUAUCCUUUAGGUGCAGCAGCCUAAAAAGGUUGGUUUGUUCAACCAUUAAAAUCUUACA
rnacentral:rRNA from 1 species